rnacentral:miRNA from 1 species
UCAUUUUAGUUGGAUGGUGUAGAU